rnacentral:rRNA from 1 species
AAGGGUACCUAGGCGGUAAAUCAAGCUUUCAAAAAAAAAAAAGAAUUAAAGGACUAAUUUACUAGAGUUACUUAUGAGGGGGUUUUAAAGUACUGCUGGUGUAGAGAUGAAAUUCUGUCAUACCUUUUUUCAAAAGAAAAAUCAUGGCACAGGUAUAGGCGAAGGCAUCCCCUUAUGUGAUAACUGACGUUGAGGGACGAAGGCUUUGUAUAGCGAACAGGAUUAGAUACCCCAGUAGUCGAAGCAGAAAAUGAUGAAUGUCAUAGAUUAGAUAUAUAAGUUUAUUCUAUAAAUGAAAGUGUAAGCAUUCCACCUCAUGAGUAAUUUGGCAACAUUGGAACUGAAAUCAUUAGACCGUUUCUGAAACCAGUAGUGAAGUAUGUUGUUUAAUUUGAUGCUCCGCAAAAAACCUUACCACAAUUUGAAUAUUUAUAUUUUUUUUAUUGUUUUCUUCUUAAUUUUCUUUUAAGAACAAUAAAAAAGAAAGAUGAAAAGAAAUAAAAGAAAAGAAGAAAUUUAAUAAAGAGGCAAUAAGAUAUAUUUACAAGCGUUGCACGGCUGUCUUCAGUUAAUGUCGCGAGACUUUGGUUAGUUCCAUUAAAUUAACGUAAACCCUUACUUUAUUUUUAGAUAGAGUAGUUCCCCGCUAUAUUGGAUAAGAU